AUUAAACGCUGGCGGCAUGCCUUACACAUGCAAGUCGAACGGCAGCACGGGGGAACCGUCGGUGGCGAGUGGCGAACGGGUGGAGUAAAGCAUCGGAACGUGCCCUGGAGUGGGGGAGUAACGUAGCGAAAGUUACGCUAAUACCGCAUAUUCUGUGAGCAGGAAAGCAGGGAUCGCAAGACCUUGCGCUCUGGGAGCGGCCGAUGUCGGAUUAGCUAGUUGGUGGGGUAAAGGCCUACCAAGGCGACGAUCCGUAGCGGGUCUGAGAGGAUGAUCCGCCACACUGGGACUGAGACACGGCCCAGACUCCUACGGGAGGCAGCAGUGGGGAAUUUUGGACAAUGGGCGAAAGCCUGAUCCAGCCAUGCCGCGUGAGUGAAGAAGGCCUUC
rnacentral:rRNA from 1 species